CUCUUCGGGGAUGAUUAAACCGGCGCACGGGUGAGUAACACGUGAGUGACCUGCCUUUUAGACUGGAACAACUUACCGAAAGGUGAGCUAAUGCCGGAUGAGUUAUAUAAGUGCAUGUUUAUAUAGGAAAAGUUGGGGAGACCUGACGCUGAAAGAUGGACUCGCGUCCCAUUAGCUAGUUGGUAGGGUAAUGGCCUACCAAGGCGACGAUGGGUAGCCGGCCUGAGAGGGUGGCCGGCCACACUGGGACUGAGACACGGCCCAGACUCCUACGGGAGGCAGCAGUGGGGAAUUUUGCGCAAUGCUCGUAAGAGUGACGCAGCGACGCCGCGUGAAUGACGAAGGCCUUCGGGUCGUAAAGUUCAUUCGACAGGGAAGAAAAUGCCUAUAAGUAACUGUGUAUGUAUUGACGGUACCUGUAUAAGCAGCCCCGGCUAACUCCGUGCCAGCAGCCGCGGUAAUACGGAGGGGGCGAGCGUUGUUCGGAGUGACUGGGCGUAAAGAGCACGUAGGCGGUGUUGUAAGUCAUUAGUCAAAGACUAGAGCUCAACUUUAGUAAGGCUAGUGAUACUAUAAUACUAGAGUAUCAGAGAGGAUUGUAGAAUUCCUGGUGUAGCGGUGAAAUGCGUAGAUAUCAGGAGGAAUACCGUUAGCGAAGGCGGCAAUCUGGCUGGAAACUGACGCUGAGGUGCGAAAGCGUGGGUAGCAAACAGGAUUAGAUACCCUGGUAGUCCACGCUGUAAACGAUGGAUGCUAGGUGUUGGGCUUUUAAGUUCAGUGCCGCAGCAAACGCGAUAAGCAUCCCGCCUGGGGAGUACGUUUGC
rnacentral:rRNA from 1 species